rnacentral:lncRNA from 1 species
UACAACUUCAUAACACAAACAUCAAGGCGUCACGAACGAUCGGCUCCUAGAACAAUUAUCAAAUCAUGUCAGAAUUCUUAUCAAUAUAACAUAUAACUUACAUAUCCUAUUCGGAAGAUCCGUACAUUGGAUUCCCGAUCCAUAAGUUUCUAAUAUCCUUAAAUAUUACGCAUUAUAUCGUUUCAAAGUUUGAUAACGAUCCAACGGUUGGAUCGUCGAUUGCUAUAAUAAUCAAGCAGCGAACCUUAAUGGAACUAGGUUCAAACGACGGAAAUUCGUCAAUCGGACCUCACAAAUGAAAUCAGGGUUUCACAAAUAAAAUCAGGGUUUUCAAAUUUAACCUAGGAAGGUCAAGGGACGUCUCGGUGCACACGCCACCCUAACUCGCCGAAAAAUUCAACUAUUUCUAAAAAUUCUCAAACUUCACAUAUAUGAAGAUCUCAGUGAGUAGUGAUAGGAGCAUAUUUAUGAGACUUAGUUAGCUUGUUUUCUUGUAUUUAUGUUGUUAGUUUCUAGUUAUUUUAGUAUUUUAAGCCAUUUUCGUGUGUUUGUAGGUUUAAAGGGCUAAAGUGGCAAGAAAGUGCAUUUUGGAGAAGUUUUGGGCUUCGAAUGGAUAACACAUGUAUGGAGCAAGGUGGAUGGAUGAAUUUGAAGAUCAAAAGAGGUUAGGAAUGUGCUGAAGAGAUAAAGGAAAUAAAUUCAACACAAGGAAGAUAAAGAAUCCAGUAAGAAAGAAAGAAUGAUUAACCAAGUUACCUUAUUUGGUCCUAACCUUUCCUAAUCCUAUACCACCUAAUUUCCAGCUGCAAGGAGGAUCUCUAAUUAUUUUAGGACACUUAAAAAAAUGAUUCUAGAAGGCCUAAUUCCAUCCCUAAAAUGAGCUGCACCUUUCCUCUUUUCCCUUUCCCCUUGCCGCAUAUCCCUUUCCCCUUUUUUUCUAGGAUCUGCCACAUAUUUCUUUCCCCUUUUCCUAAAGCAUUGCCGCACCUCACUUACCCUUUUCCUCUUGGAAUUCUGAUUUGUUGAGGAUUUGGAGUCUUAAACUCUUCCCAAAUUAAUUCCCAGUCGUGCCCUUUCCUUCCCCUAUAAAUAAAUGCCUUAGCCGUACCAUUCAACCAUCCAUUCACUACCAUUCAUACUUUCAGCCAUUCUUCCAUACAAUUCAUCACUCAAACCUGCACCCAUACCUUGUGCCACAGCAAAGAAGAAGAAUGAGGACCCUUGGACGUGCUGCCAUUCAAGCUUGGAUUGCUGGAACGUUUUUAGAUGUAAUCCAUCUUUUGUUUCCAAUGUUUAGUUUAAUUUAUCUUUGUUUUGCGAACAUGAGGAGCUAAACUCGUUUUAGCCAGGGAAAAUUCAAAGCCAUGAAUAUAUUUGCAAUAAGAAUUGAUUACUUGCAGUUGUGAUUUCAUGAAUCGUGAAUGCAAUUUACUUGACUGUUUGAUUCAGAACUUAUUCGUGUUUGUUGAUUAAGGGUGCACACUUAGUUUGCACGCAGGGAUUUGAUGCUAAAAUAUAAGGGAGUUUAACAUAAUCGUUACGAACUUAUAUUCAUCAGUAGUGAAGAUCAUUGGUCACAAUCGUGUUAAGUUAAAUUCCUGCCAAGUGUAUCAUGAUGUCAUAGUUACGAAUGCCUUGUCAAUGCUUAUGAUUUUCACAGAGCUUAAUGAUCUUUGCUUGUGUCUCUAUUAUGCAGUUCAUGUAGGGAACUUGGGAAGAAUAAUUUGGUUGCUGAUGCAUUGUCCAUCCAAUUCAAUGACUUAAGGAAAAUUUGAGGGUUAAUUAGUGAUGUCACGGUUAAUCUGGGGCGUUGAGGUUCAUGGUUUAUUGGAAAAGCAACUAGAAAUCGAUUUGUGUGCAAGUGUGUCAUGUAUCGAGAAGAACCCUUUAGCUAGCCAAUCACCCAUACUUUU